UACGUAGGGGGCAAGCGUUGUCCGGACUUACUGGGCGUAAAGCGUGUGCAGGCGGGCCGCUAUGUGCCGUGUGAAAGCUCUCAGCUUAUCUGGGAGAGGUCGCGGUAGACAGGCAGCCUGGAGGCUCGGAGAGGUCAGUGGAAUUCUCGGUGUAGUGGUGAAAUGCGUAGAUAUCGAGAGGAACGACCAGUGGCGGCAAGCGGCCGACUGGGCCGGAUCCGUGACG
rnacentral:rRNA from 1 species